rnacentral:rRNA from 1 species
UACGUAGGGGGCAAGCGUUAUCCGGAUUUACUGGGUGUAAAGGGAGCGUAGACGGCGAUGCAAGUCUGAAGUGAAAGGCGGUGGCCCAACCCCCGGACUGCUUUGGAAACUGUAUGGCUGGAGUGCAGGAGAGGCAAGUGGAAUUCCUAGUGUAGCGGUGAAAUGCGUAGAUAUUAGGAGGAACACCAGUGGCGAAGGCGGCUUACUGGACUGUAACUGACGUUGAGGCUCGAAAGCGUGGGGAGCAAACAGG